UAGCUCAAUUGGUAGAGUGCUUGCCUUGCAUGCACAAGGCCCUGGGUUCAAGCCCCAG
rnacentral:tRNA from 1 species